GACGAACGCUGGCGGCGUGCCUAAUACAUGCAAGUAGAACGCACAGUUUAUACCGUAGCUUGCUACACCAUAGACUGUGAGUUGCGAACGGGUGAGUAACGCGUAGGUAACCUGCCUGGUAGCGGGGGAUAACUAUUGGAAACGAUAGCUAAUACCGCAUAAUAUUGAUUAUUGCAUGAUAAUUGAUUGAAAGAUGCUAUUGCAUCACUACCAGAUGGACCUGCGUUGUAUUAGCUAGUAGGUGAGGUAACGGCUCACCUAGGCGACGAUACAUAGCCGACCUGAGAGGGUGAUCGGCCACACUGGGACUGAGACACGGCCCAGACUCCUACGGGAGGCAGCAGUAGGGAAUCUUCGGCAAUGGACGAAAGUCUGACCGAGCAACGCCGCGUGAGUGAAGAAGGUUUUCGGAUCGUAAAGCUCUGUUGUAAGAGAAGAACGGGUGUGAGAGUGGAAAGUUCACACUGUGACGGUAUCUUACCAGAAAGGGAUGGCUAACUACGUG
rnacentral:rRNA from 1 species